rnacentral:rRNA from 1 species
GACGAACGCUGGCGGCGUGCUUAACACAUGCAAGUCGAACGGAAAGGCCCUGCUUUUGUGGGGUGCUCGAGUGGCGAACGGGUGAGUAACACGUGAGUAACCUGCCCUUGACUUUGGGAUAACUUCAGGAAACUGGGGCUAAUACGGGAUAGAGCUUCUGGUGCCAGGGGGGGGGUGGGAAGGUUCGGCGGUUGGGGAUGGACUCGCGGCUUAUCAGCUUGGUGGUGGGGUAGUGGCUUACCAAGGCUUUGACGGGUAGCCGGCCUGAGAGGGUGACCGGCCACAUUGGGACUGAGAUACGGCCCAGACUCCUACGGGAGGCAGCAGUGGGGAAUAUUGCACAAUGGGCGGAAGCCUGAUGCAGCAACGCCGCGUGCGGGAUGACGGCCUUCGGGUUGUAAACCGCUUUCGCCUGUGACGAAGCGUGAGUGACGGUAAUGGGUAAAGAAGCACCGGCUAACUACGUG